GUAGUCUUGGCCCUAAACUAUGUUCACUAGGUGUCGGGGGUUUCCCUCGGUGCCGCAGCUAACGCAUUAAGUGAACCGCCUGGGGACUACGGCCGCAAGGUUGAAACUCAAAGGAAUUGGCGGGGGCCCGCACAAGCGGUGGAGCAUGUGGCUUAAUUCGAUGCAACGCGAAGAACCUUACCAGGGCUUGACAUGCUACUGCAAGCUGCCGAAAAGCAGUCGCCUUCGAGGGUGUAGCACAGGUGGUGCAUGGCUGUCGUCAGCUCGUGUUGUGAAAUGUUGGGUUAAGUCCCGCAACGAGCGCAACCCUCAUGUUUUGUUACCAGCGGGUCAUGCCGGGAACUCGAAACAAACUGCCUCUGUAAGGAGGA
rnacentral:rRNA from 1 species